rnacentral:rRNA from 1 species
UACGAAGGGGGGCUAGCGUUGUUCGGAAUUACUGGGCGUAAAGGGCGCGUAGGCGGUACUUCAAGUCAGGCGUGAAAGCCCCGGGCUCAACCUGGGAACCGCGCUUGAGACUGGAGAACUAGAGUUCGGGAGAGGAUGGUGGAAUUCCCAGUGUAGAGGUGAAAUUCGUAGAUAUUGGGAAGAACACCGAUGGCGAAGGCAGCCAUCUGGACCGACACUGACGCUGAGGCCGCGAAAGCGUGGGGAGCAAACAGGAUGAGAAACCCUUGU